UGCUAUUGCCGUCCUUUGCUAUUCCCUUGAUCUUUCAAUUAAUUUUUAUUCCCAAACCAUAGUACUUUGAUUUCUUAUAAUUCCCAAGUCAAUUACCUUCAUAAAUCUCCAAGAAAAACACUCAAAAACGCCAUAGAUUUCAUCAUCUUCUUCAAUUGUGGGUUUUUCAAAUAUACUUCAAAACUCGUUUAAUCUUUCAUCAAAGGUUGUCAGGGACAAUUCGAAAUAGAUUUGCAGAUCUGGCAUUUCUUUCGUCCUUCAAUGUUUCUGAAAAUCAACUCCAUGGUCAGAUUCCUCAAGGCAAACAGUUCAACACAUAUGGAAAUGAUUCAUAUGAAGGAAACUAGGGAUUAUGUGGAUUUCCGGUCUCAAAAGGUUGCAACAUCAUUGAGCCACCACCUCCAAAUGUGCUUGGAAAAGAUGGUUCAAAAUCAAACAUCUCUUUUGGUUGGAAAUUGGUGUUGAUAGGUUAUGGAUGCGGAGUAGUGUUUGGAAUGGUCGUGAGAUAUGUUGUUUUCCAAAUUGGUAAGCCAAAAUGGUUGGUGAAUUUGGUUGAAAUCCAACAUGAGAAGAAGCGAAGAAGAAAGUCAAAGGAUGGCAGUCGCAGCAAUGGACGAAGAAGGAUCUAGUUAGUGGAAAUGAUGUUCAAGUGUGUAUGUUGUAUCUUCAUAAUUUCUUGUUUUGAAGUCUGUCAAAUUUUUUUCCUAUGGAGAAAGGUUGCAUUGCAAUGCAUCUGUCUUUAUUUUUGUAACAAUUCAUCUAUAUUUCAUUGCAUUACAAAAUGUAACAUUUUGUAUGGUUCAACUAUUUAUGUAUUCUUUCAUGACUUUCAUUUUUUAGUCUCAAUAA